UCAGACGAUGCGUCAUGCAUAUCAAUAAGCGGAGGAAAAGAAACUAACAAGGAUUCCCUCAGUAACGGCGAGUGAAGCGGGAAGAGCUCAAAUUUGAAAUCUUGAAAGGUCGCCUUUCACGAAUUGUAGUUUAAAGAAGUGUUUUCUGUUACGAUCGUAAUAUAAGUUCUUUGGAAUAGGACAUCACAGAGGGUGAGAAUCCCGUCUAUGAUUGCGAUUUGUAGCUUUGUGAUACACUUUCAGAGAGUCGGGUUGUUUGGGAAUGCAGCCCAAAACGGGAGGUAAAUUUCUUCUAAGGCUAAAUAUUGGCGAGAGACCGAUAGCGAACAAGUACCGUGAGGGAAAGAUGAGAAGAACUUUGAAAAGAGAGUUAAAUAGUACGUGAAAUUGUCAAAAGGGAAGCGUUUAACACCAGUGUUGUUUUCUGAAAAUCAACCUCUGUUAGCUUUAUGCAUGUUUGUUUAGACCUAAUCAGCUAUCUUGCAUGUUCUAUUGUUUGCAGUGGUGCACUUUUCAGUUUACAGGUCAACAUCAGUUUUUUUUACCGUAAAAAAGUUAAAGAAAGGUAGCUCAUGGCUCCGGUCGUGAGUGUUAUAGUCUUUUUCCUAUGCGGUAGGAGAGACUGAGGUCUGCAGUGUAGGCUAUUUGGCUAGAUACUCAGGUGCUAUGUGAUACCAUUUCAUAAACAACUUGUUGAUUAUGUUUUGUCUAUUGCAUACUCGCUUGUACUAUCAUACCUACGCUUAGGAUGUUGAAGACUCUACAGAGAUA
rnacentral:rRNA from 1 species